AAAAAGAGGAGUGGCGAACGGGUGAGUAACACGUGGGUAACCUGCCCAUCAGAAGGGGAUAACACUUGGAAACAGGUGCUAAUACCGUAUAACAAUCGAAACCGCAUGGUUUUGAUUUGAAAGGCGCUUUCGGGUGUCGCUGAUGGAUGGACCCGCGGUGCAUUAGCUAGUUGGUGAGGUAACGGCUCACCAAGGCCACGAUGCAUAGCCGACCUGAGAGGGUGAUCGGCCACAUUGGGACUGAGACACGGCCCAAACUCCUACGGGAGGCAGCAGUAGGGAAUCUUCGGCAAUGGACGAAAGUCUGACCGAGCAACGCCGCGUGAGUGAAGAAGGUUUUCGGAUCGUAAAACUCUGUUGUUAGAGAAGAACAAGGAUGAGAGUAACUGUUCAUCCCUUGACGGUAUCUAACCAGAAAGCCACGGCUAACUACGUGCCAGCAGCCGCGGUAAUACGUAGGUGGCAAGCGUUGUCCGGAUUUAUUGGGCGUAAAGCGAGCGCAGGCGGUUUCUUAAGUCUGAUGUGAAAGCCCCCGGCUCACCGGGGAGGGUCAUUGGAAACUGGGAGACUUGAGUGCAGAA
rnacentral:rRNA from 1 species